UACGUAGGGGGCUAGCGUUGUCCGGAUUUAUUGGGCGUAAAGCGCGUGUAGGCGGCCAGAUAGGUCCGUUGUGAAAACCCGAGGCUCAACCUCGGGACGCCGACGGAAACCAUUUGGCUAGGGUCCGGAAGAGGAGAGUGGAAUUCCCGGUGUAGCGGUGAAAUGCGCAGAUAUCGGGAAGAACACCCGUGGCGAAGGCGGCUCUCUGGGACGGUACCGACGCUGAGACGCGAAAGCGUGGGGAGCGAACAGG
rnacentral:rRNA from 1 species